rnacentral:rRNA from 1 species
CACGUAGGGGGCAAGCGUUGUCCGGAUUUAUUGGGCGUAAAGAGCUCGUAGGCGGCUCAGUAAGUCGGGUGUGAAACCUCCAGGCUCAACCUGGAGACGCCACCUGAUACUGCUGUGGCUAGAGUCCGGUAGGGGAGCGUGGAAUUCCUGGUGUAGCGGUGAAAUGCGCAGAUAUCAGGAGGAACACCAGCGGCGAAGGCGGCGCUCUGGGCCGGAACUGACGCUGAGGAGCGAAAGCGUGGGGAGCAAACAGG